CGGCGGACGGGUGAGUAAUGUACGGGGAUCUGCCUGAUGGCGGGGGAUAACUACUGGAAACGGUAGCUAAUACCGCAUAAUGUCUACGGACCAAAGCGGGGGACCUCCGGGCCUCGCGCCAUCAGAUGAACCCAUAUGGGAUUAGCUUGUAGGUAAGGUAACGGCUUACCUAGGCGACGAUCCCUAGCUGGUCUGAGAGGAUGAUCAGCCACACUGGGACUGAGACACGGCCCAG
rnacentral:rRNA from 1 species